rnacentral:lncRNA from 1 species
UCGGCACGAAUUUUGAGCCCUGACCUUUACUUGCGCAGAAGUAAUUUAUUGGGUCCCUUUUGUGGUAUGAAGUGAGGCGCGGGGGCGGGCUAAAGCGGUGAUUGGCCCGCAGCGCAUCGCGUCAUAGCCGUCACUCGGGAUUGGUUCUUUGCUAAUAAAUCACUUCUGCGCAGAUGAAGGUCAGCGCUCAAGAUUCGUGCCGAUAACUAUACUUAUCUAUACUAAUUUUAAAAAGAGGAUUUUUAAUUUCCAUUUGUUCGUUUGCACUCUAAGGGCUCCGAAACGACUGAACCAAUUUAAAAUAUUCUCAAAUAAAAACUGAAUAUAUCAGAGAAAGAGUGAACUCAAAAUUAUUUUUUUAAAAAGUUCCUAUUUUGAUGAUUACUUAUAUAUUUUUGUAUUUAAAAAAAAUGUUUUAUUUUCUUUAGUAAGAAAAACAAUCUUGCCACUAUUUAGUUAUUUAAACUUUCAAUCUGUAAUCAUUAAUUUUGUCUUUGCCUGUAAAAGUCUCAAACUGGUUUUAAACGAAUUUACAAAUCUCAAUAACUGAAAAAAUAAACAUUUUUAGAUUAUUUUAUUUAAUUUAGAUACGUUUAGAAUCUCGUCAGAAAUUUUAAAAGAAAAAGCUAUGUAUUUUAUUUCUUAUAUAUAUUUUUUUUUUUUGCAAAAUCGACUAUUUCAACAUAAGUGUUGUGGGAUCGAGAUUAUUGUCAUAAAGUAAGUAGGAUAUGGUCGAAGGCCUAAUAGAUGGAAAACGUGUGACUUACGUCCGCUCCCAAAAAUCUAAUCCAUCCAUUGAUUCACGCUCUAGAGAGAUAGUAUAAGGAACUAUAUCGGGUGUGUCGUUCACAAUCACAUUAAAUGAAAUGCGUUAAUAUACUGGUUAAUAUAUGUCACUACGUAAAUAAAAAAAUGAAUUUUUCAAACAAAGUAAAUAGAAUAAAAAUGUGCCGGAAUUAGAACACCAUAUAUAGGAGUCAGUCAUUACAAACAGCUGAUAUUCUCCCUUGAAACCUGACAGCUGUCAACUGAUCAAAACAUUCGAUACUCCUAACUUUAUCUCUGCUUUACACAUGAUGUUGUAAAUUAUGAAAACGAAAAAUGACUCCUGUGGUUAAACCACUGAAUGGAUUAGAUUAUUUUUUUACAAUUCGCUAUAGAAUAUCAUAGAGUAUAUGUGAUAGGAUUUAAUGUGAUUGAGAACGACACACCCUGUAUGAUACAAAUAAUGUUAAAUUCGUAUCUCUAAACAAAACGGCGGAUGGAUAAAAUAUUGGGAAUGGCGAUAGGGAAUUAAAACGAUAUUUUUCAUAUUUUUCCUUUUUAAAUUGUCUAUAAAACUAUGUAUUUGUAGAUAUUUAUACUGUUAAGUGUAAAAUAUUAUGAUAUUGGUACUCAAAUGUGUCAACAUUGGAUGUAAAAAAUGUAUUUUCGGAAAUAAAUGUCAAAAUUUUUUGGAAACUUA